AUUGAACGCUGGCGGCAGGCCUAACACAUGCAAGUCGAGCGGAUGAAGGCAGCUUGCUCCUGGAUUCAGCGGCGGACGGGUGUGUAAUGCCUAUGAAUCUGCCUGGUAGUGGGUGAUAACGUCCGCAAACGGCCGCUAAUACUGCAUACUUCCUGAGGGAGCAAGUGGGGGAUCUUCGGACCUCUCGCUAUCAGAUGAGCCUAGUUCGGAUUAGCUAGUUGGUGGGUUAAAGGCUUACUAAGGCGACGAUCCGUAACUGGUCUGGCAGGAUGAUCAGUCGCACUAGAAGUGAAACGCGGUCCAGACUACUAAGGGAGGCAGCAGAGGGGAAUGUUGGGCAAUGGGCGAAAACAUGAAACAGCCAUGGCGCGUGUGUGAAAAAAGUGUUGGGAUUGUAAAGAACGUUAAGGUGGGAGGAAGGGCAGUAAGUUAAGACCUAGCUGUAGUGACGGUAACAGCAGAAUAAGCACCGGCUAACUACGUG
rnacentral:rRNA from 1 species